rnacentral:lncRNA from 1 species
CAACCCAACUCAACCCAACAGCAGCAGCAUCAACAGCAGCAGCUACAACCCAACCCCCAACCCUACUGGCCGCAGCAGCAGCUACAACCCAGCACCCAACAGCAACAGCUACAACCCAACCCCCAGCCCAACUCAACCCAACAGCAGCAGCUACAACCCAACCCCCAACCCUACUGGCCGCAGCAGCAGCUACAACCCAGCACCCAGCAGCAGCAGCUACAACCCAACCCCCAGCCCAACUCAACCCAGCAGCAGCAGCUACAACACAAACCCCAACCCGACUCAACCCAACUCUACGCACCCCAACAUCAGCUACAAUACAAUCCACAACUACCGCAACAGCAGGAAAUACUACAACCCAUCCAGCAUCUACAAGGAGAUCCAAACUGUUCCAACCAAGGAAACAUGGGGAACUCAAACUCCCUUAACAUUCAAGGACAAGGACAAGACAACUGUGAAAACCCACAAUACGUGCAAGAGAACCCCGUAAACAAUGAUACAAGUACGGGGGCCAUACAGAAGACGAACGGCACUCCCGCGGGAGCCACCUCGGGAUCUAAGCAAGAUCAACAAACAUCAGCCUCCCAACCCGCAACCCGAGGCAGAAACCGCGCAACCAAGACGGAUCGCCGCACUAGGAGGACCAAGACAAAGAGUACCAGUCCGAACCGGUUCGACGACGAAUGCUCAGACGAAGAGGGCACCGACCUGAUGGCACCCCUGAUGACGGACGCAUGGGACAGGAAAAUAUUUUCCUGUUGGGGACACCGAGAAAGGCACGUCCUGGCCCGCCGCUUGCCUUCGAUCACGGCGGGAGCUGCGGCCUGGAUCAGGACGUUUGAGGAGGAGACAUCAGGUGAUGUCCUGGCCAUAGGAGAUGUAAGGGCCAUCAUCGGAAAAGCCCAUGGUUCCGACAAAACAAUAGAACUGGAAAGAAUGACCCAUACUACUCAUGUGCCAGACAAAGCACCCUUCGACAGAUACCGAAAUGCCUUCUGGGAUAACCUCAAACGACAAUACCCACCAGACCUCAGUGCAGUGGGAAUCCAAGGCCUGGCCAUCAAACCAGAAGAAACCAUCCAUGAUUACGUAAGGAGAGCCGAAAUCCUAUGGGCAGACAAAAAUGACUGCAGCCCGUACGAAAGCAACCUGGCAAACAACACCUUCCGAAAGGCGGUCUUGGGUGGGCUACCGCCCGAGGCCCAGACUGGACUGGAGACGGUGGUUGGACUGUGCGUCAAACCAAAGGCAGAGUGGAUGGAACACCUCAUUGACCACCUCAAUCUAAGCAAAAAGAAGCAAGCAAAGAAAGACCACGACGGAGGUAUUAGGGAAAUAUUUAAACAGAUGUGCAAGGGUGAACAUAGAAAAGGACGUGGAGGUGACCCGGCAGCUCAAGAGAGCCGAAGAAGACCAGGAUUACGUGGCCAUGAUGUCCCUAAUGUCCGAAGCAGUCCCUCAGGUGACCCCACUUCCAGAGUGGCUACGACAGGGCAACGAACCCACCGCAUACGCUGCAUACGUG